rnacentral:rRNA from 1 species
AGAAGUGAAAUCCAAUAGCUCAACUAUUGAACUGCUUUUGAAACUGAUUACCUAGAAUAUGGGAGAGGUAGAUGGAAUUUCUGGUGUAGGGGUAAAAUCCGUAGAGAUCAGAAGGAAUACCGAUUGCGAAGGCGAUCUACUGGAACAUUAUUGACGCUGAGACGCGAAAGCGUGGGGAGCAAACAGGAUUAGAUACCCUGGUAGUCCACGCCCUAAACGAUGUACACUAGUUGUUGUGAGGCUCGACCUUGCAGUAAUGCAGUUAACACAUUAAGUGUACCGCCUGGGGAGUACGGUCGCAAGAUUAAAACUCAAAGGAAUAGACGGGGACCCGCACAAGCGGUGGAGCAUGUGGUUUAAUUCGACGAUACACGAAGAACCUUACCUGGACUUGACAUAGUAAGAACUUUCUAGAGAUAGAUUGGUGUCUGCUUGCAGAAACUUAUAUACAGGUGCUGCACGGCUGUCGUCAGCUCGUGUCGUGAGAUGUUGGGUUAAGUCCCGCAACGAGCGCAACCCUCGUCAUUGGUUGCUAACAGUUCGGCUGAGAACUCUAAAGAGACUGCCUACGCAAGUAGGAGGAAGGUGAGGACGACGUCAAGUCAUCACGGCCCUUACGUCCAGGGCUACACACGUGCUACAAUGGGGUAUACAAAGAGCCGCAAUACGGUGACGUGGAGCAAAUCUCAAAAAUAUCUCCCAGUUCGGAUUGUAGUCUGCAACUCGACUACAUGAAGU